rnacentral:rRNA from 1 species
UACGUAGGGUGCAAGCGUUAUUCGGAAUUACUGGGCGUAAAGCGUGCGCAGGCGGUUCUAUAAGUCAGAUGUGAAAUCCCCGGGCUCAACCUGGGAACUGCAUUUGUGACUGUAGAGCUUGAGUACGGUAGAGGGGGAUGGAAUUCCGCGUGUAGCAGUGAAAUGCGUAGAUAUGCGGAGGAACACCGAUGGCGAAGGCAAUCCCCUGGACCUGUACUGACGCUCAUGCACGAAAGCGUGGGGAGCAAACAGG